rnacentral:rRNA from 1 species
CUACGGGUCGCAGCAGUGGGGAAUAUUGCACAAUGGGCGCAAGCCUGAUGCAGCCAUGCCGCGUGUAUGAAGAAGGCCUUCGGGUUGUAAAGUACUUUCAGCGGGGAGGAAGGGAGUAAAGUUAAUACCUUUGCUCAUUGACGUUACCCGCAGAAGAAGCACCGGCUAACUCCGUGCCAGCAGCCGCGGUAAUACGGAGGGUGCAAGCGUUAAUCGGAAUUACUGGGCGUAAAGCGCACGCAGGCGGUUUGUUAAGUCAGAUGUGAAAUCCCCGGGCUCAACCUGGGAACUGCAUCUGAACUGGCAAGCUUGAGUCUCGUAGAGGGGGGUAGAAUUCCGGGUGUAGCGGUGAAAUGCGUAGAGAUCUGGAGGAAUACCGGUGGCGAAGGCGGCCCCCUGGACGAAGACUGACGCUCAGGUGCGAAAGCGUGGGGAGCAAACAGGAUUAGAUACCCGGGUAGUC